GGGGUUGCGGACAUAUCAUAACGAAGAGGUAUCGUAAUUGAAGAGGUUUGGAAAGACCCACCACAGAAGGUAAUAGUCCUGUAUGUUAAACGAGAAAACUUUAGAUAUGAUCCAGAGUACCACGGGACACGUGAAACCCUGUGGGAAGCAGGAGGGACCACCCUCCAAGGCUAAAUACUACCUAGUGACCGAUAGCGUAUAGUACCGUGAGGGAAAGGUGAAAAGAACCCCGGGAGGGGAGUGAAAUAGA
rnacentral:rRNA from 1 species